UUUGUUCAUUAUCAUGCAAUGAAGAUGACCUGCUUUGCACACGUGCUUCUCCUUCUCCGUUGCCGCUACUGUCCAGUGGGUUUGGGUUACAUCUGAGUUCCCUUAACAAAUUGAAUGCAAACGAUGGUUCAUUCAAGCUCUCGGGAUACAUCUCAGGUCCUGAUGUUUACACAGUGAAGGGUGGAUGGGAACUCGCAUAAAUGGAUUGAUGAGUUUGUAAGGAGGAAUAGUAGAGGAAGUCCUUCAGCUCCUCUAUUAUACCAAAGCAAGAAGUUCUUUGCCACGAGCGAGUCUUCAAGAACGGUAGCAGGAAAUAACAAUAUUAAGACUGUUCAUGAUAUGCCACUUGUGCCAGAAACAAGAGCUGUAUAUGAAACCUUUAAACAAAUCUGGAAAAGCACAUUGAAAAAAA